UACGAAGGGUGCAAACGUUGCUCGGAAUUAUUGGGCGUAAAGCGCACGUAGGCGGCCUUGCAAGUCGGAUGUGAAAUCCCUCGGCUUAACCAAGGAAGUGCAUCCGAAACUGCAGUGCUUGAGUACUUAAGAGGAUCGCGGAAUUCCCGGUGUAGAGGUGAAAUUCGUAGAUAUCGGGAAGAACAUCGGUGGCGAAGGCGCUCUACUGGACCACAACUGACACUCAGGGACGAAAGCUAGGGGAGCGAAUGGG
rnacentral:rRNA from 1 species